AUUGAACGCUGGCGGCAGGCCUAACACAUGCAAGUCGAACGAGUGGCGGACGGGUGAGUAAUGUCUGGGAAACUGCCUGAUGGAGGGGGGUAACUACUGGAAACGGUAGCUAAUACCGCAUACCAUCGGAUGUGCCCAGAUGGGAUUAGCUAGUAGGUGGGGUAACGGCUAACCUAGGCGACGAUCCCUAGCUGGUCUGAGCGGAUGACCAGCCACAUGGGAACGGAGACACGGGCCAGAUUCCUACGGGAGGCAGCAUUGGGGAAUAUUGCACAAUGGGCGCAAGCCUGAGACAGCCAGGCCGCGUGUAUGAAGAGGGCCUUCGGGUUGUAAAGUACGUUCAGCGGGGAGGCGUUACCCGCAGAAGAAGCACCGGCUAACUCCGUGCCAGCAGCCGCGGUAAUUC
rnacentral:rRNA from 1 species